rnacentral:tRNA from 1 species
GCCGGAGUGGCGGAAUGGCAGACGCACACGACUCAAAAUCGUGCGGGAAACCGUGUGAGUUCGACUCUCACCUCCGGCACCA